CCUACGGUGGGCAGCAGUGAGGAAUAUUGGUCAAUGGACGAGAGUCUGAACCAGCCAAGUAGCGUGAAGGAUGACUGCCCUAUGGAUUGUAAACUUCUUUUAUCAAGGAAUAAAAUCUUGCACGUGUGCCUUUUUGUAUGUACCUUAUGAAUAAGGAUCGGCUAACUCCGUGCCAGCAGCCGCGGUAAUACGGAGGAUUCGAGCGUUAUCCGGAUUUAUUGGGUUUAAAGGGGGCGUAGGUGGAUUGGUAAGUCAGGUGUGAAAGUCUGCGGCUCAACCGUAGAAUUGCAGUUGAAACUGGCAGUCUUGAGUAGAGGAGAGGUAGGCGGAAUGCGUGGUGUAGCGGUGAAAUGCUUAGAUAUCACGAAGAACUCCGAUUGCGAAGGCAGCUGACUGGACUGUAACUGACACUGAGGCUCGAAAGUGUGGGUAUCAAACAGGAUUAGAUACCCGUGUAGUC
rnacentral:rRNA from 1 species